UACGUAGGCAGCAAGCGUUGUUCGGAGUUACUGGGCGUAAAGGGUGCGUAGGCGGCUUCUUAAGUCUGGUGUGAAAUCUCCCGGCUCAACUGGGAGGGUGCGCCGGAUACUGAGGGGCUAGAGUGUGGGAGAGGAAAGUGGAAUUCCUGGUGUAGCGGUGAAAUGCGUAGAUAUCAGGAGGAACACCGGUGGUGUAAACGGCUGUCUGGACCAUAACUGACGCUGAGGCACGAAAGCGUGGGUAGCAAACAGG
rnacentral:rRNA from 1 species